GGCAUAGCUCAGUGGUGGAGCACCUGCUCAGCAUGCAUGAGGUCCUGGGUUCAAGCCCCAGUACC
rnacentral:tRNA from 1 species